UGCAGAUGAUGUAUUUUCUCACGAUGGUCUUCCAAGCCAUUUGGUUUUGACGACAUUGCCUACAGGCUUCACUGAUGCAGCAUG